UACGGGGGGGGCAAGCGUUGUUCGGAAUUACUGGGCGUAAAGGGCUCGUAGGCGGCCAACUAAGUCAGACGUGAAAUCCCUCGGCUUAACCGGGGAACUGCGUCUGAUACUGGAUGGCUUGAGAUUGGGAGAGGGAUGCGGAAUUCCAGGUGUAGCGGUGAAAUGCGUAGAUAUCGGGAGGAACACCAGUGGCGAAGGCGACUACCUGGCCUGUUCUUGACGCUGAGGCGCGAAAGCCAGGGGAGCAAACGGG
rnacentral:rRNA from 1 species